UACAUUGUUUUUCUUGCUUCUUUCGGGGGGGGGGUAUAGGAGUCCAUUAUAUAACACACACAGACGUGACUGAUUAGGCAGGACAGAAACAUGCUAAGCAUACAAAGUAAACAAAUGUCCACUUUUUUUGGAAAAGUGAUAAUAAAACACGCAUGUUAAUGUCAGAUAGAGACAUUACAAUAAUUAGUGUUAGAUUGUCUACAUGAAUCAAAGUAAAAACUGCUACAAUACAUGCUUUUCUCUAUGAUUGUAUUGAGUCUAAUUUUGUGUGAUCUCCCUCUGUUUCCCAGAAGCCCUAGGUUGCCCUCUGGUUACCAGGUGAUCUUGUUUUUAAAGGUCUUUCCAUCUGAGUCCACCGAGAGCACGGUGUUGACAUCUCUCUUUUGCCUUUCCUUCUUUCUUACAAAGUCAGCCAUGGCACACAUAAUCCCAUUACUGCGGAGCUUUGAAAGAGGGCACAGAAAAUGGGAGAAAGAGAGACGAGCUACGUGAACAACUCUUAUUGCACACAACAGUUUUUAAUGUAAAAUUGAUAGAUUGAAGCACAGAAGCGCCUCUAUCUGGACGUACAGAGCAUGCUGGAUGAUAUGGGAGUCUUUACUGUUUACUGUAAACUGACUUUGCACAGAGGUUAAAUAUGUUAGUAUGCAUUGAUUUGAUUUGUUUCAUCCAAAUGUUGAUAUUCUGUCUUUGUUUACAUCAUCAUUUAUCAUUCAAAUGCCUUUUUAAUUUCUGCAGAAGAUCUUGAUCAGAACGUUAAAAUCAGUCACAAUAUAAUGUUUUCUUAUUUAAAAUGUUUUUAUUGUUAUAUUAUAUUACAGCUCUGUUUGAAGACUAACAUUUAAAGGAAUAGUUCUCACUAUAAUUUUGCUUACUUACAGUUCAGAGGUUGUAAACAUUCAUGACUUUCUUUCUUUCUCUUUCUUUCUUUCUUUCUUUCUUUCCUUCUUUCGAACUCGAAAUUAGAUAUUCUGAAUAUUUUCCAACAUUCUCCAGUACAUCUUUGAAUUCAACAAAAGAAAGAAAGUCAAACCAGUUUAGAACAACUGGAGGAGUAAAUGAUGACAGAAUUCAUUUUCUGACAAACUAUGCUUUAGCUCAUUUAUCCGAAAGUUUAUCGCAGCUUUUGAGUAUAAUUUACAUUUGUGUAUGUUAAAUUCAAACUGUUUAGGCUUUUGAAAACAGUUUCUUAAGCUCAAAUGCUGCAUUUACUGUAAAAUUGUAACCCUGUAAAAAAUAACACCUUAAAAUAAAAUAACAUUUUUCUUUUAA